rnacentral:tRNA from 1 species
GUGGUAUAGCUCAGUUGGUAGAGUGCUUGCCUUGCAUGAACAAAGUCCUGGUUCAAUCCCCAAUCCACA